CCAAACUUGGUCAUUUAGAGGAAGUAAAAGUCGUAACAAGGUUUCCGUAGGUGAACCUGCGGAAGGAUCAUUACCAAAAAAUUAGCUGCCUGGUCUCGACCGGUGCACGCUUCAACCCUUUGUGAACCAAAAAAACCUUUUCGCUUCGGUUAGCAGGAGCGUGUUGUCGAAAGAUGCCACGCGCUGUAAGCCUGCCGAUGGCACCCAAUUUAUAAACCUGUUGUUACAAAACAUGUCUGAACUACCAAAUUUUCGAAUGAAAAUUAAAACUUUCAACAACGGAUCUCUUGGUUCUCGCAUCGAUGAAGAACGCAGC
rnacentral:misc_RNA from 1 species